AUCGGGUUCCUAGUGUCAUCUGGUAUCAGCUUGGUCUAAAUCUGCUUUUCCAAGUAUGGUGGGACAGUCUGGUACUUCGCGGCCCCUCUCUUCUAAGUGUUUACAUAGCAAGUGUCAGUGCCCACAUCUGCAGGGGCCCACUGGGGAACAGAAGCUGGCUUGGUCCACCUGAGUCGGUUUUGGUGGCCGCUCAUCUCCCCAGGAGAGGCCAGUCCUCCCUCUCUUAUCCCCUCCCCAGGGUCCUCCCUGUGACCCACCCACUAUGACACCUCAGCACUCACUUUCCGGCCCUCAGGAACCAGGUGACGCAUGCAGAUGUGACCACAGGUUGUCCUCCCUAUUCCUGCAGGAGCGGCUCUGGGCUAGUGUUUCUCAAAGUAUGUCCUCAGGAUUCUGUCAUCAGAGGCACCUGGGAAAACAGUGCAGAGUCCAGCCCCCCUCCAGACCUACAGAAGCUGCCUGUACCUUUCUGCUGGGCCUCAACUGGAGUGUCUGUUAUUUGUGGUCAAGGAUUCUAUUUCAGCUCUCUUGGGAUCCCCUACAGGUGCCAUAAUAGAGGCUUAAGUAGGGAUUGCUGAGGCAGCGAUUGGAGAGGCUAUGUAGUACCUGCAACCAGUUACGGUAUUUCCCUGGAGGAAUCCCUGCCAACCAAGGCCCCAGAAUGGAAGAGGUGCUUCCCUUAUCACCAGCCAUCUCACACACAAGGAGGAAAUCAAGUUCAGAGACGAGCUUCGUGCCCAAGAUCACAGAGCUGGCACGCUGCUGAGCUGGAAUCUGCCUCCUCCAUCUGUCUGGCCUCAGUCCUCUUCACAAGGCCUCAGGGCCUCCUUGCUGGGAGAAGACUUUCUGUAGCGGGGUGGAUGUCUCUCUCUCGUUCCUGGUUUGGAAUGCUGCUGGGACACAGCAGGGGCCCAGUAACCCAUUUUAACAUGGUAAAAUAAACAAGAGUAAAAAUGGUACACUAAAAAAAAAAUACCCAUUUAAUACAAAAGAAGGUAGUGACAGAGAAAGAGAGGAACAAAAACGAGAAUUGCUUCUAAGUGAAAUGUUUAGAAAAGAAGAGAAGGCAGACACGAAGUGUAUAAAACGUACAUCGCGGUGUCUUUAUUUGUGUAAGAUAGUAAUGUGGUCUUCAACAAGUGUUCACUGGUCGUCUACAUUUUGUUUAUUCUUUAUUUACACAUCUUGCUCAGUAUUGACGGAAGGCCUGCUCUCCAUCAGACGCCCUCCUAGCGGGUGGGGCUACAGGCCUCAUUUUCAGGGGAGUCCCCACUGAGAGAGCCCGUGGGAGGGCAGGGGAAGCGCACACAGCAAGCAGCCAUCCCGCCCACGGCUCAGGGCUCCUUCGUCAGUAGCUCCUCUGAGGCCCCUGGGGCAGGUGAGCCUGGGGCUUCCUGUUCAGGACCCCCUCUCCCCAUGCAAAGAGCAGCAACUUGUGAUCACGUCCAGCAGUUUGACCCUUUAAUUAGAGAGCCAGGAACAGCAGUCAGCUGGGGUCAGGCCAGCGGCAUGGAAAACAGCCAGCAGGGAUGCCUGGGGCCCCACCUCCCCAAACCCCUCACAGAUGCUCAUGGACACUCCCUGGGUGUCGUGAUCUUGGAGUCCCCAGCACCCCUUUGCUGCUCCCAGGGUUCCUCCUCUCUCAGCCUAUUAUGGCUGAGGAGCAAGCCCAUUUUCCCAGCUGUUUGUAUCAUGUCUAAAGGUCAGUAACCCCAUUUGCCAAGUCUUCCACGUGGCAAAGAUCUCCAGACCGUAGCCACAGCUCGGGCAUCUCAGUACACUCAGUGCCGAGCUGCUUCUGCAACUCCCACUGGUGAGGAUGACCUGGGGAGCCAGUGACUGCACAGGGACCUGGGGCGGCUUUCAGAUUCCCACGGAGAUGGAGCCCUGGACAGGUGCUGGGGCCAAAUGGGACUGAGUGACUGCAUACCUCAGCCUGCUCUGUUCUGGAAAACCGUGUUGCUGGGUUUGGUGACGGCAUGCUUGUGUCUCAUGGGUGGGGCUUGAACUGUCAACUCCGGGCAUUUGUUUUUUUUUUCUGCCUCUGGCCCAACAUUAGACAGACCAGAAUCUCAGAUAUUCUACUAGGAAUGAAAGAAUGUUCAUCUUACCCACCAGACAGUGGGUGGGGAGGGAAGGCUUACAGUAGGAUGGGCUUGGCCACUUUAGGGCGGGGCUUACAGUAGGAUGGGCUUGGCCACUUUAGGGCGGGGCUUACAGUAGAUGGCCUUGGCCACUCUAGGAUGGGGCUUACAGUAGGAUGGGCUCGGUCACUCUACGUGUUGGUGCUGUGACUUUUCCUAUGUGAAGAUGGACCAUGCGGCUGAGGCUGCUGGGUAAAUAUUUAGGUCUGAAAAGAUUUGUUAUCUGAUUGCUAUUGACGGACAUUUCUGUAGCACACGUGUCUCUGGAGACUGCCUUUUGCUGACAUUGCUUAGAGAAAGCCAGCCAUUAGCUGCUUAUAC